GACGAACGCUGGCGGCGUGCCUAAUACAUGCAAGUCGAACGCAGGGGGGACGGGUGAGUAACACGUGGGUAACCUCCCAUCAGAGGGGAUAACACGUGGAAACAGGUGCUAAACCGAUACUGAUGGAUGGACCCGCGGGGCAUUAGCUAGUUGGUGAGGUAAAGGCUCACCAAGGCGACGAGGCAUAGCCGACCUGAGAGGGAGACCGGCCACACUGGGACUGAGACACGGCCCAGACUCCUACGGGAGGCAGCAGUAGGGAAUCUUGGGCAAUGGACGAAAGCCUGACCGAGCAACGCCGCGUGAGUGAAGAAGGUUUUCGGAUCGUAAAACACUGUUGGUAGAGAAGCGGUAUCUAACCAGAAAGCCACGGCUAACUACGUGCCAGCAGCCGCGGUAAUAC
rnacentral:rRNA from 1 species